rnacentral:rRNA from 1 species
GCUUGUCUCAAAGAUUAAGCCAUGCAUGUCUAAGUAUAAGCUUUUAUACGGUGAAACUGCGAAUGGCUCAUUAAAACAGUUAUAGUUUAUUUGAUGGUCGCUCACUACAUGGAUAACCGUGGUAAUUCUAGAGCUAAUACAUGCGCAAAGACCUGACUUUUGGGCUGAUCGUAUGGCCUUGUGCCGACGACGUUUCCUUCGAAGGUGUGCCCUAUCAACUGUCGACUGUGAUAUAGACGCUCACAGUGGUUUUGACGGGUAACGGGGAAUCAGGGUUCGAUUCCGGAGAGGGAGCCUUAAAAACGGCUACCACAUCCAAGGAAGGCAGCAGG